GAUGAAGUACGUAGCGAAAUGCGAUAAGUAGUGUGAAUUGCAGAAUUCAGUGAAUCAUCGAAUCUUUGAACGCACAUUGCGCCCUUUGGUAUUCCAAAGGGCAUGCCUGUUCGAGCGUCAUUUGUACCCUCAAGCUUUGCUUGGUGUUGGGCGUCUUGUCUCUAGCUUUGCUGGAGACUCGCCUUAAAGUAAUUGGCAGCCGGCCUACUGGUUUCGGAGCGCAGCACAAGUCGCACUCUCUAUCAGCAAAGGUCUAGCAUCCAUUAAGCCUUUUUUUCAACUUUUGACCUCGGAUCAGGUAGGGAUACCCGCUGAACUUAAGCAUAUCAAUAAGCGGAGGA
rnacentral:misc_RNA from 1 species